UAGGCUGCGAAAGAGAGGGAAAAUGAGAAAAAUUGCAGGAGGGGAUAGUAAGCCUAGCACAAUGCAAAUGAAGAAGACCACUGCUGUUGAAUCAAUCCAUCAGCUAAUCUUCCUGUUAGCUUUGUACAGAACCUAGCCCCAGAACAAGCAUACAGAUCUCUAUGAAGAGUUUCCUUCCAAGUUCAGCUUGAGCAACGCCUUCUGUGUGAAGCCCGUCUUUAUCCUGCUAGCUGCCGAUGCCUUCCUCCUGAAAAACAAAACCUUAUACAGGGUGUCCCAAAAAUCUUAGUGCGGUUUUAAGCUAUUCAAGCUUGAAAAGCUAAUAAAAUGUUAAUAGCAUAAAACCGCACUAAGACUUUUGGGACAUGAUGUAUUUCUUCGGCAUACACACAUCCUAUGUAUAUAUAUAUAUAUAUAUUGUCUCUGUGAUGGAAUGUAAGCUCCUUGAGUGCCGUGGUUGCUUCUUUUCUGUCUUGGUAUCUAGCCUUGCAGCCUGGUACAGGACCUGGCA